UACGGAGGGGGCUAGCGUUGUUCGGAAUUACUGGGCGUAAAGCGCGCGUAGGCGGACCUGCAAGUCGGGGGUGAAAGCCCGAGGCUCAACCUCGGAACUGCCUUCGAUACUGCGGGUCUCGAGUCCGGGAGAGGUGAGUGGAAUUCCUAGUGUAGAGGUGAAAUUCGUAGAUAUUAGGAAGAACACCAGUGGCGAAGGCGGAUCUCUGGGCCAUUACUGACGCUGAGGAGCGAAAGCGUGGGGAGCGAACAGG
rnacentral:rRNA from 1 species